AUUAGACAAGGAGAGCACUAGCGUGCGACAAGGACAGACAUAUAGGCGCGAUAGACAAGGAGAGCGAUAUCGUGGGACAAGGACAGACACAUCUGUGCGUUAGACAAGGAGAGCCGCAGCAUGCGAUAAGGACAGACAUAUUCGCGCGAUAGACAAAGAGGGCAAGCAGCGUAUGAUAAAGACAACAAUAUAAAUUAGUUUCGGCACCUAUCCUAAGGGUGAUCCACACGAUGAGAUUUUGUUAUAGAAGAGGAAUAUUUAAACAACCUUUGCGAGCAAAGGACCAGUUAAUUUAUCUGGAACUACGAUGUUAUCCUCUAUUUUUUCUUCAUCUGUGAUAUUUGUAUUUGAAAAUGUCGCGCCUCGGGUCAGAACUUUGAUACUAUCACGCGAAAGAACUGGAGCAAUUAGUGCAGCAAGUGGAUUCACGCGUUCAAGAACUUCAAAUACAGUUUGCACUAAUGCUUGGAGCUGAUAAUUCACAAGAAUCGGUACAAUUUGAUAUUCUUUGUUUCUAAGCUCAAUAUAUUUAAUUGGUGCGUUUAAAUAAAUACGUUUUCUACAUUUUGUCAUCAUCUCUGGAUACAAUGUGGCUGAAAGCUGAGAAUUAAUGGAUUGUCGACUGUCAAACAUGCUAUAGAAAGGAGACUUGAUGCUGGAAGUUUUCGAAGAGAAUUGUACCUUUCUCCAAUAAGGACGAAAUCGGUUUGAUACUGGAGCCGUCAUUGUCUUUCCAUUUCGUACUGUGAGCAGUCAGCAGGUGGAGACAAAGAACUUUAUCAGGAUCUACUUCGCCCUUAGUGAAUACUAUUGAGCGCACAAACUCGUAGGAAUCUUUCGGCGCCUGUUCCUGCUCGAUUGUCUGACCACUUUUUUUUAUGGCGCCCGUGCAAUGGUAGCAAAAGCCAGGAUUGUGAGUUUCGUACAUGCGCACAUUAAUAGCCUACGCGUCAAUUACUGUGCCCGCAAUUAGAUUGAAACGAUGAAUCGCGUUUCUGCUAAUUGUGCGUGCAGAAAUACACGGUGUUAAUCUUUAGUCUAGAGUAAUCUAAUCUAUAGUCAAAUCGUGAAACGUUACGAUCGGAACUCUGCGAACUAAUACUCUUUCAAUGUUAUAUAGACUCUAUAUAACCAUAUGUAACUCUUCGAAUAUUCUUGUGGAAACUUAUUUUGAAUAUACAAUAUUAUAUGUGCUAUACAAAA